UGUGACUCACCAGCCGCGCGCGUGCUGGGCAGGUAGAGGCUGGAGUGGUCAGGAGCAUGCCUGGCUCCUGGUGCCUCUCUAUGGAGAGCACCUCUGUGCCUCUCCGAGAGCACUCACAGCCAAAAGUACACAGCUGCCCCCAGGCUGAGAGUGCUUGAUACACCCUUGAAUCCCCUCUUAUAUGAUGCCCCAGCCCAGGAGAGAUAAAAGCAUCAGCACCAUGAGAUUCACCUGCCUCUGGUCGUUAGGGAACAAUGGAGGCCUGCGAUUUGGAGUUAAACUCUCGGUGAUCUCUGUGUUGACAACACCAAAGCUAGAGGAAUCCAGUAGGAUGUGGGCAUGGUUUUCCCGGAAGGCUGACUGAGCAGUUCUGCAAAUGUUUGCAAGUACAGGGCAGAAUUUCAUCCAGCCUCGGAACCUUGAGCCAAGACUCAGCAUCAGCAAAGCCAAAAGUUUCAUUUCUUCAACUGUGGGAGUGCUAGUCCCACCCUUUAGAUGGCCAUUCAGUUUUAAGUUCAAUAAGCAUUUUGAUUGAGAAAUACUUUGCUGAGGAGUGAAAAGUCCUUGGCUUUGAAAGACGAAUGAUGAGCAGUUCAGUGGCCCAUGUCACAGUCCAGGCACCUGCCGAAGGUGACUCCUUGGGAGGAGCAUCUUAGUCACAGAGCCAGUGCCUGCUGUAGGUGUGCAGAAGGGUGCGUGUGUGUGUGUGUGUGUAUGUGUACGUGUACAUGUGUGUUGGGGGAAGGGAGCAAGGUUAUGGGAGCAUUUCUUAUCUGCUCUCCUCUGCAAGAUUUCCUGUGAUUUAAGUCACAUUAAAGUACCCAUAAGCCCAUAAUGCAAAAGAACCCCAAAACCAGCCCAGCAGCCAACCAUGGCAGCAAGUAGAUGCUCUGGUCUUUAGAUAGUCAGAAAUGACACUUCUGGGCUCUCAGGCAGUCAGUGGGUUGAGCUCCCCAUUAAAGUCCCCCUGCCAAGUCUGGAAUAGUCCUAGUCCCGUGUGUGUGUGUGUGUGUGUGUGUGGUGUGUGUGUGUGUACCCGCGUGCAUAUGCGCGCAUGCAGUGCAGGGUCUGCAUACCUAAAGCAGAUGAAAUUCUGCAGAAUGGCUGCCUCACUAGACAAAGUCAAGAAGACAGACCGAGGAGAGAGAGGUUGAUGUGUCUCCACUACCAAGAGAUAGGCUUCUCUAAGCCAGCAAGACAUCCCAUCCAACAAUAUGAAACUGGCCACAUUUCCUUGAGAUGUCAACGUUGAAAGUGUAGCUGCAUCUUUAUUCUUCACUGUUAUGAAGUUGGGUGCAACAUAGCUUGAGUGGAAUACAAAAACACCGCUUGGAAACACAUGAUCUGGAUUUGAAUCGCAGCUGUAUCAUUCACCUGCUAUAGACUUUGAGCAAGACCUCUCUGAGGUUAUUUCUUCACAGUAGGUAGAGACAAGACUUACUUCAAAGGUUCUUAAAGUUGAACCUGAGUCAAUGAAUGCAAAAAUGUUCACAUUUAAACUGUAAUUUUAAAGCACAAUACAAGUAAAUAGCAUUAAUAUCAUUAGAGAGAUUAACUUAGCACUGUGCGUCACAUGAUUCAUCACGGGCCAUCUGUGAGAUAUCAAAUAGAGAGGUGAAGCCUGCAGUAAUAAAAAAUACUGCCAUAGCUAUAA
rnacentral:sRNA from 1 species